CUUUGUGCAGAUUGAGCAAGACUUCAUCUUGCAGUUUGGAGAAGAUGUAGCUGCCAAGUCUUUGGAGAGGUGGCCUACAACAUUCAAGAAAAGGGUCAUCCAGCAGAGUAAGGCUCUGAGAUCUGAUCUAUUGUGCAGAAGCUACAUCAGAUGAAGAGGAAAUGGAUAAUGACAUUAUUGCCUCUGGAUGGGACAGUGAUCUGUCUUCAAUCAUUCUCCUCCUCCACCUGAUUCCUCCAACAGCCCAGGGGCAGAAGAGGCCAGGCAAGGUGUCUGCAUCCCAAGCUGAGAAGCACCUUGUCGUGUUCAAGAAGAGUGGGAC
rnacentral:lncRNA from 1 species